UACGGGGGGGGCAAGCGUUGUUCGGAAUUACUGGGCGUAAAGGGCUCGUAGGCGGCCAACUAAGUCAGACGUGAAAUCCCUCGGCUUAACCGGGGAACUGCAUCUGAUACUGGAUGGCUUGAGUUCGGGAGAGGGAUGCGGAAUUCCAGGUGUAGCGGUGAAAUGCGUAGAUAUCGGGAGGAACACCUGAGGCGAAGGCGGGCUACUGGGCCGAUACUGACGCUGAUGUGCGAAAGCCAGGGGAGCGAACGGG
rnacentral:rRNA from 1 species